GGCGGUGUAAGGUUUGGGGCAUAAUGCCUUAGUAUGGCAUUCAAGCGGUCAAGAGUUCAAUUCUCUUCAGCUCCACCA
rnacentral:tRNA from 1 species